rfam:Aedes aegypti strain Liverpool supercont1.422 genomic scaffold, whole genome shotgun sequence.
CCUCUCAUGGCGUUGUGGUAACGCGCCCCAACUAGAGAUCGGGGAGUCGUGAGUUCGAUUCUCACUGAGAAGA